ensembl:miRNA
UAUGGCUUUUUAUUCCUAUGUGAUGAUGAAAAGUGUUCAUGUAGGAACAGAAGCCAUUUU